rnacentral:rRNA from 1 species
UCGAGAAUCUUCCGCAAUGGACGAAAGUCUGACGGAGCGACGCCGCGUGCGGGAUGAAGGCCCUUGGGUUGUAAACCGCUUUCGGAGGGGAUGAAAUCCUCGAGGGUUCUCCCUCGAGGUUGACAGAGCCUCAAAAGAAGCACGGGCUAAGUACGUGCCAGCAGCCGCGGUAACACGUACUGUGCGAACGUUAUUCGGAAUCACUGGGCUUAAAGGGUGCGUAGGCGGCGAUUCAAGUCAGAUGUGAAAUGCCUGAGCUCAACUGAGGCAUUGCGUUUGAAACUGAAUUGCUAGAGUAUUUCAGGGGUGUGCGGAACUGCCAGUGGAGCGGUGAAAUGUGUUGAUAUUGGCAGGAACACCGGAGGCGAAAGCGGCACACUGGGGAAUAACUGACGCUGAG